GCGACGAUAGCUCAGUGGGUAAAGAACGAAAAGAUGGCGAAUCUGCACGGGUUCGAAUCCCGCCUGUCGCA